rnacentral:rRNA from 1 species
AGUGAACGCUGGCGGUAUGCCUAACACAUGCAAGUCGAACGGCAGCACAUUAAUAGCUUGCUCUUACGGGUGGCGAGUGGCGGAUGGGUGAGGAAUACAUCACAAUCUACUUUUUCGUGGGGGAUAACGUAGGGAAACUUACGCUAAUACCGCAUACCACCUACGGGUGAAAGCAGGGGAUCUUCUGACCUUGCGCGAUUGAAUGGGCCGAUGUCGGAUUGGCUAGUUGGCGGGGUAAAGCCCCACCAAGGCGAGGAUCCGUAGCUGGUCUGAGAGGAUGUUCGGCCACACUGGAACUGAGACACGGUCCAGACUCCUGCGGGAGGCAGCAGUGGGGAAUAUUGGGCAAAGGGGGCAAGCCUGAUACAGCAAUACCGCGUGGGUGAAGAAGGCGUUCGGGUUGUAAAGACCUUUUGUUGGGAGAGAAAAGCAGCAGGUUAAUAAGAAGAUGUUCUGACGGUACCUAAAGAAUAAGCACCGGCUAACUUCGUG